AUGCGCUAUUCUUCGAUGUUACUCCAUCAUUUAAGGGCCAGUGGCCGUAUUCCUUGGAAAUUGCAGUGGCCGUGUGCGGUGGGGUGGUUCUGCGAGGCUAUGGCGAUGGCGAGGAGGCAGCACAUCACAAUAUUCACCACGGCGAGCCUGCCGUGGAUGACCGGCACUGCUGUCAACCCCCUGUUCCGGGCGGCUUACCUCGCCAAGGCUGGGGACUGGGAGGUCACGCUGGUGGUGCCGUGGCUGUCCAAGGGGGAUCAGAUGCUGGUUUACCCUAACAAGAUGAAAUUCAGUGGGCCGGCGGAGCAAGAAGGCUAUGUGCGGCGGUGGCUUGAGGAGCGGACUGGGCCGUUGCCGAGAUUCAACAUAAAUUUCUAUCCUGGGAAGUUCUCGACGGAGAAGAGAAGCAUUCUACCUGUUGGGGAUAUAACUGAGACGAUAUCUGAUGAAAAAGCAGAUAUUGCAGUUCUAGAAGAGCCAGAACAUCUGACCUGGUACCAUCAUGGACGGAGGUGGAAAAACAAAUUUCGUAAAGUUAUAGGUGUUGCUCACACCAACUAUCUGGAAUAUGUGAAGAGGGAGAAAAAUGGUUACAUUCAUGCAUUUCUCUUAAAACAUAUCAAUUCUUGGGUCACCGACAUCUAUUGCCAUAAGGUUAUAAGAUUAUCGGGAGCAACUCAGGAAGUCCCGAGAUCUGUAAUUUGUAAUGUUCAUGGAGUAAACCCGAAAUUUAUUGAAAUUGGCAAAUUAAAGCAUCAGCAAAUAUCUCAAAGAGAACAAUCAUUCUUCAAGGGUGCAUAUUAUAUUGGAAAGAUGGUCUGGAGUAAAGGCUACACAGAGCUGCUUCAGCUGCUUCAGAAGCACCAAAAGGAAUUGUCUGGUCUCAAGAUGGAGCUGUAUGGCAGUGGAGAAGAUUCCGGUGAAGUUAAAGCAUCAGCUGAGAAACUCAGUCUGGACGUUAGAGUCUAUCCUGGCCGCGACCAUGCAGAUUCAAUAUUUCACGACUACAAGGUUUUCAUAAACCCAAGCACAACAGAUGUAGUUUGCACCACAACUGCAGAAGCCUUGGCGAUGGGAAAGAUUGUGAUCUGCGCAAACCAUCCUUCAAAUGAAUUUUUCAAAAGAUUUCCCAACUGCCACAUGUACAGCACGGAGAAAGAGUUUGUGAGGCUAACCAUGAAAGCACUGUCAGAAGAGCCGAUCCCACUGACCGAGGAACUGAGGCACGAGCUUUCCUGGGAGGCAGCGACAGAGAGGUUUGUCAGGGUUGCCGAAAUCGCACCAGCCACGCCCGCCAAGCAACAUCCUUCCACUUCACAGCGUUUCAUGUACAUCAACCCGGAUGAGCUGAAGAAGAACAUGGAAGAGGCGUCGGCAUUCUUUCACAACACCAUCUCUGGGUUUGAAGCCGCCCGUUGUGUGUUUGGGGCGAUACCGAACAGCCUGCAGCCCGAUGAACAGCAGUGCAAGGAGCUCGGGUGGAGACCCCAGGGAUUAUAG
rnacentral:rRNA from 1 species